AUGUUACGUAUUGUUUAAAUUUCGAUCUGUAAGGAGCAUGGUAAUGCCUGCUGCUAAAACAGGAAGGGAUAGAAGUAGAAGUACAGCGGUAAUUAAAACCGAUCAAACAAAUAGAGGGGUUUGGUAUUGAGUUAUGGCAGGUGGUUUCAUAUUCAAGAUGGUAGUGAUAAAGUUAAUUGCCCCCAGAAUUGAUGAAACGCCUGCUAAAUGGAGGGAAAAAAUGGUCAAAUCAACUGAUGCUCCUGCAUGGGCUAAAUUUCCAGCUAAAGGAGGAUACACAGUCCAACCGGUUCCGGCCCCUGAUUCUACUGCUGAUGAGGCAAGAAGUAGUAAGAAAGAUGGAGGUAAGAGUCAGAAGCUUAUGUUAUUCAUUCGUGGGAAUGCCAUAUCUGGGGCCCCAAUUAUUAAGGGAAUCAGUCAAUUACCAAACCCUCCGAUCAUGAUUGGUAUCACUAUAAAGAAAAUUAUUACGAAUGCAUGUGCGGUAACGAUUACGUUAUAAAUUUGGUCGUCUCCAAGAAGCGUUCCUGG